rnacentral:rRNA from 5 species
AUUUUAGCGAUGAAUGCCUCGGCUCGGGUUACGAU